UCAGAAAGGGCAGGGCCGGCCCGACCCGACGCGCCCGGCCGUGCGUUGCCAGGCCGGCGUGCGUGUUCUCCGGCCCGCGCUCGCUCGGGCAUUGGUUUGUAGUCUCGGGGCCAGCGGUGGCUCGGCUUUCCAGGACGGCCACUAGCCCUGGUGCCUUAGGGGCUUUGGACCCCCUCUGGCCUGUGGCCAUUGCCCUCCUGGCCGCUGCCGUGUUGUUUCUCACAAGCUGCUUAGACUGGAAGUCGGUCAGAAGAUCUGAGACUAGGGGUAAUGCAAACCUCCUUCUGAAGAGCAGCCGUUCAGACUGUUGUGUGGUGCCAAGUAGUAGGACACCAGGCAAGUCACAGAUGCCAGCGGCAGCCAGAAUAGGGUAACCAGCAUAGUCAGUGCACUGUCUUCAGCAAGCUCUCCUGAAGGGGGUGAAGUUUGACUCAUUUUGUGAUGAAUACAGAAGCUACAGCCUGUCUUAGGGUGAGAAACUGUUGUCGGGUGUCUGCCGGGUACAACCGCCUUGGUAGCUCCUGCACUCCCACUGUAGGUCACAAGAUGGGGUAUGACUACCCGGAAAGAUGACUGCCCAAGUAAGGGAAUAUUUUUUCUGCUUUAUAGGUUGACUUUGCUCUUUGAGGAGCCUGGCGGAAAGCAUUCCCUCAAAGUCCACAGGAAGAAGAAACGGAAAAGGAAAGCCUUCGUCUUUGCCGUAAAACGGAAGUGACUCGUCAGCCCUGGUGUCCCGCAGGCACCCAACUGGGCUCCAGACUGGAAGGUGCCCACAGGAGGGGAUCUCGCGCUUGUCUCGAGACUGAAAUCACUCACGCUUGAGCCUCGUGAGCUGUUGGUAACAGCACCCGAGGAGAUGCGGUGGUGGCAAUGGUUAUCUAGCUUCUCAGCUGGAUGUUGGUUUGGAGCCCUUGGGGCAUCCUGCAGGUAAGUUCUCAAUGUCCCUCUCCUUGAAAGAAUCAACCUUGACCAUGUGGCAAGAGCUUAUUCCUGUGCAGUUUUCCUUAAGAUCCUCUCAAGGUCAACAGCUUCCUGACUUCUUGGUCUACUC